UACGAAGGGGGCUAGCGUUGCUCGGAAUCACUGGGCGUAAAGGGUGCGUAGGCGGGUCUUUAAGUCAUACGUGAAAUCCCCCGGCUUAACCGGGGAACUGCGCCUGAUACUGGAUGGCUUGAGUUCGGGAGAGGGAUGCGGAAUUCCAGGUGUAGCGGUGAAAUGCGUAGAUAUGCGGAGGAACACCGAUGGCGAAGGCAAUCCCCUGGGCCUGCACUGACGCUCAUGCACGAAAGCGUGGGGAGCAAACAGG
rnacentral:rRNA from 1 species